rnacentral:rRNA from 1 species
AGUGAACGCUGGCGGUAGGCUUAACACAUGCAAGUCGAACGGCAGCACAGUAAGCGCCCGCUCUUACGGGUGGCGACUGGCGGAUGGGUGAGGAAAACGUCGGAAUCUACUUUUUCGAGGGGGACAACGUCGGGAAAAAUACGCCAAUACCGCAUACGACCUACGGGGGAAAGCAUGGGACCUCCGGACCUUGCGCGAUCGAAUGACCCGAUGUCGGAUUAGCUAGUUGGGGGGGUAAAGGCCCACCAAGGGGACGGUUCGUAGCUGGUCUGAGAGGACGACCAGGCCCCCUGGGACUGAGACACGGGCCCGACUCCCACGGGAGGCCGGUGGGGGGAAUUUUGGACAAUGGGCGAAAGCCUGAUCCAGCCCUGCCGCGUGUGGGAUGAAGGCCCUCGGGUUUUAAAGCCCCUUUGGUGGGAAAGAAAAGGACUGUGGUAAUACCCCGGUUUGAUGACGGUACCCGAAGAAUAAGCCCCGGCUAACUUCGUG